rnacentral:rRNA from 1 species
AGCGAACGCUGGCGGCAGGCUUAACACAUGCAAGUCGAGCGGGCAUCUUCGGAUGUCAGCGGCAGACGGGUGAGUAACACGUGGGAACGUACCCUUCGGUUCGGAACAACUCUGGGAAACUGGAGCUAAUACCGGAUACGCCCUUAUGGGGAAAGGUUUACUGCCGAAGGAUCGGCCCGCGUCUGAUUAGCUAGUUGGUGGGGUAACGGCCUACCAAGGCGACGAUCAGUAGCUGGUCUGAGAGGAUGAUCAGCCACACUGGGACUGAGACACGGCCCAGACUCCUACGGGAGGCAGCAGUGGGGAAUAUUGGACAAUGGGCGCAAGCCUGAUCCAGCCAUGCCGCGUGAGUGAGGAAGGCCUUAGGGUUGUAAAGCUCUUUUGUCCGGGACGAUAAUGACGGUACCGGAAGAAUAAGCCCCGGCUAACUUCGUGC